rnacentral:lncRNA from 10 species
CAGGCCUCCCAGCCACAGCCUUCACCACGUAUGGUCUUCCACCGGCGCCCUCGAUGCCCAACAGGCCCGCUGAAGCCCCUCACCGACCCCACUCCAUGUGAAACACUUCCUUCCCUCACCUCCAGUGGCUGAACCCCUUGCUCAGACCCCGGGGCAGCAUUCUCACCCUCCUCAGCCCCUGGGCGCGCCACCCCACCCCUGGGUGCUGACUGUUGCCUCUCCAUCCCCGCUGCUACCCCGGCAAGCCCAGCAUGAGUGGAAAGACGGCCGGCCUACUUGCAUCCCCAGUGCCUAUACACAGCAGGUCCAGUGUCUGCUGGACUCAAAUAAGACCCCCAGGGCCGGGACAGAGCUCUGCUCCUGGAAGUCCCCUCCCUCCCUGGUCUCAGGAGGCAGAAGACUGGGGCAGACCUGAGCCCAGAUGGCUUGGAUUGGGGGGCUCCUAACUUAGCCAGCGAUGGCCAAGGGGACCAGAUGUUAACUAUGCUUGGAGCCCAUGGUGGCCACGCCAAAGGGGAAAUUUCUCUCCUACCCUCAAGGAGACCCUCAAGUUGCUGAGCUGAUGAAGCCAUUACCAGGGCACAAGGGGCAACCGUGGCCUGGGAGAUGCUUCUUAACCUUAUUUGGGUGUAAGACGCUUUGAAAAUUUAAUGAAAACAUACACAUACACAUUUUCUAUUUCAUUUCCUGGGGGACCUCGGGUCCCAAAAUAAGACUCCCUGAGCUAGCGGCGGGGCCAUCUUCAGAGGCUGCCGUGGAGCCCAUGCAGCUCAGCUGCCCUUUGAGGUUCCAGUACCCAAGCCCUUUGCAUCUUUGGAAGCCAGAGCUCCCAAAGUGACUCCCCACGGGGGGCCAGGCUGACCCCUAUCAGCUUGCACGCUGCCCUCUCACACUUCACCGGGGCCAGCAUGGGGACAUGCUGGUGUGGAAGGUGCAGGAGGUGGGGGCGGGGCCACAGGCUUGGAUUCUGGGCCCUGCUCUGCUCUAACAUACUGGAAGACCAGGGGUGAGCCACUUCCCCUCUCUGGGCCUCAGUCUCCCCAUCUGUGAAAUGAGAGGCUGGACUAGAUGAGGACUUCACACAGGGCUGGUCACUCACCACCGAUGCUACCCAGGACAAUGCUAGGGGCACAUGGGCACAGCAUGAAAUAACUGCAUCUCAGAAUGGAAUGGUUACGCCCCUCCCAAAUCUCCUUCUAUCCGGGUUACAGCAAGGAAAGGCUCCGUUUGGUGCUACUAUGCAUGUCCCUAACCUUUCUAGCACUUUCUACUCUCCGCUUUUUAGCACAGAGAGUGCAGAUGCAGGCUGGGUGCCCUCUGCGGAGUCCACGCCUCGAGAAUUUACAACAUUGCUCUAUGGGGUGUGUUUGUUUUUUCAGCUUCCUUAGCCAAGCGAAACUGGUUUUCUGCUUACAGUUUCGAUAUUAAAUAUCCUUUAUAAGAAUAAGGGAUAUUUAAAUAAAUGUGUUUCAGUGUAAGGAAGUGUGACUCAUUUAAAGAAAAGUAAAUCAUAAUUCCAAGUGGUAUCAGAAGUAGUAAAUUUGGGCCAGGUACAGUGACUCACGCCUGUAAUCCCAGCACUUUGGGAGGCCAAGGCAGGAGGAUCACUUGAGGUCAGGAGUUCAAGGCCAGCCUGGCCAACAUGGUGAAACCCCACCUCUACUAAAAAUACAAAAAUGAACUGGGUGUGGUGGUGGGCACCUGUAAUCCCAGCUACUCGGGAGGCUGAGGCAAGAGAAUCACUUGAAUCUGGGAGGGGGAGGUUGCAGUGAGCCAAGAUGGUGCCACUGCGCUCCAGCCUAGGCAACAGAGAGAGAAUUCAUCUCAAAAAAAAAACAUAAGUAGUAAAUUUUUAGAGCUGGGAUGGAAACCACGGA